rnacentral:rRNA from 1 species
AGCAGCCGCGGUAAUUCCAGCUCCAAUAGCGUAUAUUAAAGUUGUUGCAGUUAAAAAGCUCGUAGUUGAAUUUCGAGAUCAAUUUGUUGGUCGUGCCUCGGUACGUACUGGCAAUUUUGAUUUCUCCCUUCUGAAGAACCAUGAUGUCAUUAAUUUGGUGUCAUGGGGAAUCAGGACCGUUACUUUGAAAAAAUUAGAGUGUUUAAAGCAGGCUCGCGCUUGAAUACAUUAGCAUGGAAUAAUGAAAUAGGACGUUUGAUUCUAUUUUGUUGGUUUCUAGGAUCGACGUAAUGAUUAAUAGGGAUAGUUGGGGGCAUUAGUAUUCAAUUGUCAGAGGUGAAAUUCUUGGAUUUAUUGAAGACUAACUACUGCGAAAGCAUUUGCCAAGGAUGUUUUCAUUAAUCAAGAACGAAAGUUAGGGGAUCGAAAGACGAUCAGAUACCGUCGUAGUCUUAACCAUAAACUAUGCCGACUAGGGAUCGGAUGAUGUUAAUUUUUUAAUGACUCAUUCGGCGUACCC